AUAUAGAAGAAAAAAAACACUUUACUGAAAACGGUUUAUUAGAAAUAAUAGAAAUAAAGUCUGGAAUGAAUAAAGGUAGAAAAAAUAAAUAAUAAAUUUAUAAAAUGUAUGAAUAAUUUGAUGAUCGUGGGUGCCAGAAGACUCGGUAAGGCCAGAGACGCAAACGUUAGUCGUCAUAAACAGGCGUAAAGGGUUCGUAGGCAUCUUUUUAAAGCAAUUUAAAGAUAGAAUCUAAUGGAGUUUGAACCGCUAAAUGCUUUAAGUAGGGAUGAAAUAUUUAGAGAUACGGUAGAAUGCUCAAGGCGUAAGCAGCUUCUCAUGUAAAGAUUGACGCUGAGGAACUAAGGAGAGCCACAGGAAAAAGGAUUAGAUACCCAAGUACCCUCUCUGCCAACGAUGAAUGGUACUCAUUAGCAAACGGUUAGUGGGAAAGUUAACACGUGAACCAUUCCGCCUUGUGAGUACGGUCGCAAAGUCUGAAAACAAAAAAAUUAGUCGGUCUUGAAGCAAACGAAGUGAAGCAUGUUAUUUAAUACGAUAGUCCGCGUAAAAUCUUACCAGUGUCUUGAAUAUUUUAAAAAAAAGGUUUUUAAACGUAAAAAUAAAAUUCUUUGUUUUUUCAGGUUCGUGAAAUACGAUAAAAUUUGUCCCGCAAAAUAAAUUAUUCUUCUAUUUGCUGCGUACGCCUUGCUGUGUACGUCUGAUAAAUAAAAGUCGGUAUAAAUUUUUUACCAACUUGUCUUAACUUAAGUUAACUCCUUAGGUUAAGGGAAGGAAAAAUACAAAACACUUUUAAAAUUAAAAUAAAAAAAAGUAAAUUACAGUACUAAUUUUUAUUUUAUGCGCUUCCUUAAUUUUAGAUUAGGGAUAAAAAGUGCGGAAGUGUAGUGAGAACAUGCAAUAAAUAAACUCUUAAAAAAAAUCUUAACAGUAAAAAACUUUUGUCUUGUUCUAUGCCUUUUACCUCUAAAGUUUAAUUUAAACUCAAAGGUUUAAGGUAAGAAUUUUAUUUUUAAUAACCACCGCUAAAUUUAUUUAGAAAAUUUGUUCUGCUCUUAUAAAAUUAGUAGCACAAUUUUCUGUUCUAAUACUUUCUGUUUUAGUCGCGUACGCGCCACCUAAAUAAGAUUGUAUUAGAAUAAGUUAUUUUUUUGCCCUUUGGGCCUUGUAGAGAUAAAUGUCACUUCGUGUUAAAAUAACUAUAAUUUAGAGUUUCGUAAUUAAUAAUAUUUUAUUAAUUAUAAAUAACGCCAUAUCGGACGAUGGAAACGGUAAGUUUGAUUACCAAAUAUAAGAUAAAGAUCCCUAAAAAUUAUCUUUUUUUUUUUACAGCUUAAGAAUUAAUCUAAGCUAUAAAAAACUAAUUUAUUAAUUUUUUUAAUCUUUUUAAUUGUUAUAUUAUUAAAAAUACAGGUGUUGCAUGGCUGUCGUCAGUCCGUCUUGUGAGAAGUAAGGUUAACUCCUAGAUUUUAACGGACGCAAUCCCUUCAGCUAAUUUAUACUUAGCUAUUACCUAAGUUAGUGGAUAACAUAGGAUCCACUUGGGGCGAAGACAAGCCGUUAUGGCCCUUAUGACCUUGGGCUAUAGACGUGCCACGUGGGCUUUAGCAAUGUGAAGCAAAAUCGAAAGAAAGAGCUAAUCACAAAAAAGAAGUCGUAUUACAGAUUGUACCCUGAAAUUCGGGUCCAUGAAGAAGGAAUUUCGAGUAAUCGUUGAUAAGUAGACGCAACGGUGAAGCAUUAAUUCUUGAUGAACUAACUGUCUGUCGCUGGGAAGGAAUUUAAACUGUUGGAAACGGUGAGUAUUUUUAAACUUUAAAAUAUUAUAAGCUUAAAUUUUAAGCAAAGUUUAUUUUAUAAACAUCUUAUUUUAAGAAAAGUAUUUGUCGUUAAGGCAUUUAAGUAACAUCUCAAAAGUCAUAGCAAGGUAGCCGUACUGGAAAGUGCUGCUGGAAAAUAAAACUU
rnacentral:rRNA from 1 species